CCCUUAGAUGUUCUGGGCUGCACACGUGCGACACUGGCAGGUUCAGCGAGCUUCAUGCCCUGAUCUGAAAGGAAUGGGAAAUCUUUUCAAAACCUGCCGUGCUUGGGAUAGAUGUUUGCAAUUAUUCAUCUUCAACGAGGAUUGCCUUGUAAGCGCACGUCAUCAGCGUGCAUUGAAUACGACCCUGUAUUCUGUACACACCGCCCGUCGCUCCUACCGAUUGAAGUUUUCGGUGAGUUGACAGGAGGAUUUUUUUGAAACUGGUUCGCCAGUGGAUUUUAGAUCCAAAUGCCAACGAAUCGAUGGCUUUAGAGGAAGGAGAAGUCGUAACA
rnacentral:rRNA from 1 species